AUGAACGCUGGCGGCGUGCCUAAUACAUGCAAGUCGCGCGAACGGACGAGAAGCUUGCUUCUCUGAUGUUAGCGGCGGACGGGUGAGUAACCCGUGGAUAACCUACCUAUAAGACUGGGAUAACUUCGGGAAACCGGAGCUAAUACCGGAUAAUAUUUUGAACCGCAUGGUUCAAAAGUGAAAGACGGUCUUGCUGUCACUUAUAGAUGGAUCCGCGCUGCAUUAGCUAGUUGGUAAGGUAACGGCUUACCAAGGCAACGAUGCAUAGCCGACCUGAGAGGGUGAUCGGCCACACUGGAACUGAGACACGGUCCAGACUCCUACGGGAGGCAGCAGUAGGGAAUCUUCCGCAAUGGGCGAAAGCCUGACGGAGCAACGCCGCGUGAGUGAUGAAGGUCUUCGGAUCGUAAAACUCUGUUAUUAGGGAAGAACAUAUGUGUAAGUAACUGUGCACAUCUUGACGGUACCUAAUCAGAAAGCCACGGCUAACUACGU
rnacentral:rRNA from 1 species